CGGCAGAAUUCAGUGAUGUGGGUCCACAGCCUUUAGGAGCUGUUUCCACUGGAAAGAGGAUCAACUUACAGCAGUGAAUAAGAAGAAAUUCUAAAGUGGUUACCCUCAAGAUAUAACAAGCCUCUGUCUUCAAUGAACAUGUGAUACACGAUACCUGCCUUGAAAUCUUCUGUCUUAUUAGGGCAAAACUCAAAUAUAGCUCCGGGCUUGUGUUGAUGCUCAAGCCAAAUGCCACAUGCUCAAGAGGCUUAUUGUGUUUUUAUGGUCUUUGAUCUACGUCUGUCAGUUUCUUCAUUUGCCAAAGAGCAACAACUGGGCUGGAGAUAAUAAACCAAGGUUCACAAAAUGCAUUGAAUGGGAAGCAGAGGAACUCUCCGGACAGCCCAUCACACGUGUCCUAAAAUAUGGAAGGGAAAGAAGAAAAACGGUGUGCAACACCUGCCAAUUACUGCCAAAUAAUAAAACUAUCAAAGUUCAAAAAAAAAGAUAUUCCUGGAUUGAGCAAAUGUUGGUUCAGGAUUACAGGUCAUUCAGAAAUGUGCAAAACUGGAACCACAUCUUCAGACCAACAAAGAGACCCACCUACCCCGUGGACAACAGAAAAGACCUGAAUGAAAAUCAUGUCAAUAUACAAAUAAAUCUAUGAAUCAAUAAAAGACAAGGACAUGUGACAAAAAGAUGAGUAAAAUGAAAUGAAAUACUUUAUAAAGCAAAUUCUAUUUUCAGGUAUACUUCUAGUAUCUGGUAACUGACAGUGCUUUAUGGAUGGGUAUAUUCAUUCAUAUUUGGGGUCCUCAAUUCUGUGACACAGAUUUAUGAGUUUUAUUUUUACAGUUCCUAAA